rfam:Pseudomonas cremoricolorata strain ND07, complete genome.
CCGAAGCGCGGGUGGUGAGCCCGCGCCGAGGUGAAACCCGAGCAAGGGCUCACAAAGCCCCGGCUCGUACCUAUGAAGAUAUGAGACCAGCAGGGGCUUCCGGGCUGGUACCCGGAAAAUCUGCAGGAUCUUCGGUGACGUGGUUCGGCCGCGGUAUUGGGCUUCCUACGUUUGCUGAGGCGCUUGCCGAUCAGUCCCCUAACCGAGGGUGACCA